UACGGCUCUCACCGUGGCUACCUCCCAACG
rnacentral:piRNA from 1 species